ensembl:snoRNA small nucleolar RNA U13
AUCCUUUUGUAGUUCAUAAGCGUGAUGAUUGGGUGUUCACACUCUUAUGUGGGAUGUGCCUCCCACAAACCUUGUUACAUCUUCAGCACACUUUCCCUCUGACA